rnacentral:rRNA from 1 species
AGUGAACGCUGGCGGUAGGCCUAACACAUGCAAGUCGAACGGCAGCACAGUAAGAGCUUGCUCUUACGGGUGGCGAGUGGCGGACGGGUGAGGAAUACAUCGGAAUCUACUUUUUCGUGGGGGAUAACGUAGGGAAACUUACGCUAAUACCUCAUACGACCUACGGGUGAAAGCAGGGGAUCUUCGGACCUUGCGCGAUUGAAUGAGCCGAUGUCGGAUUAGCUAGUUGGCGGGGUAAAGGCCCACCAAGGCAACGAUCCGUAGCUGGUCUGAGAGGAUGAUCAGCCACACUGGAACUGAGACACGGUCCAGACUCCUACGGGAGGCAGCAGUGGGGAAUAUUGGACAAUGGGCGCAAGCCUGAUCCAGCCAUACCGCGUGGGUGAAGAAGGCCUUCGGGUUGUAAAGCCCUUUUGUUGGGAAAGAAAAGCAGCAGGUUAAUACCCCGCUGUUCUGACGGUACCCAAAGAAUAAGCACCGGCUAACUUCGUG